rnacentral:rRNA from 1 species
GAGUUUGAUCCUGGCUCAGGACGAACGCUGGCGGCGUGCUUAACACAUGCAAGUCGAACGGUGAAGGGAAGCUUGCUUCCCGGAUCAGUGGCGAACGGGUGAGUAACACGUGGGCAAUCUGCCCCAGACUUUGGGAUAACUACUCGAAAGAGUAGCUAAUACCGAAUAUUCAGCCUUGCAGGCAUCUGCGAGGCUGGAAAGUUUCUCGGUCUGGGAUGAGCCCGCGGCCUAUCAGCUAGUUGGUGAGGUAAUGGCUCACCAAGGCGACGACGGGUAGCCGGCCUGAGAGGGCGACCGGCCACACUGGGACUGAGACACGGCCCAGACUCCUACGGGAGGCAGCAGUGGGGAAUAUUGCGCAAUGGGCGAAAGCCUGACGCAGCAACGCCGCGUGCGGGAUGAAGGCCUUCGGGUUGUAAACCGCUUUCAGCAGGGAAGAUGCGAAAGUGACGGUACCUGCAGAAGAAGCACCGGCUAACUACGUG